GCUUUAAGAGUCAAAUUAGUUGUAAUCGAGAGGUUUUAAAUUUGAUAGAAAUGCCAGGUGGCGGAAGAGCACCUGCUCUUUGGUUUGAAAGGAGAACAGAAUUUUACAAAACAAAUCAAUACAAAAAUAUUGGAGCUCUGCUCCUUCUAUCUUCCUCCUUCCUUCACUUCUAUGUGCAAUAGUAAAGGUUUGAGUUAGGGUUUGAGAUUUGGGUUCUAACAUAUGCGUGAGUUAGGGUUUGAGAUUUGGGUUCUAACAUAUGCGUACUGCAGCCUGAGCGCGAGGCGCUCUCGAUUGAUUCCAUGGUCUGAUCUUCCGCGAAUCGCAAUCGGACGGUGGCGAUGGCGUCGACGCAGAACCAAUCGGCGCAUGUGGAUCUCUUCGAUGCGUAUUUCCGACGGGCCGAUUUGGACCGCGAUGGCCGGAUUAGUGGCAAUGAAGCCGUCGCUUUCUUCCAGGGCUCUGGUCACCCAAACAGGUCCUUUGCGCAGUCUAGAUUGAUAGAAUGACUACCCAUCAUGCCACAUUAUCUUUGAUGGAGCGGUUUAGGGAGGGACGCCCUCUUCCAGCAGUGCUACCAAGCAAUGUUAUGCUUGAUUUAAAAAAUAUUUUUUAUUUAUUUAUUUUUUUUUUGAAUCUAGUGUCUCCGGGUUUUUGACCCGACUACUCACUAGGCCACCCGCCUGACCCCACAACAUUUGGUAAGCAAGAAACUCUAGCAAUUGCUAGGUGGGUACCUUGAGAGGUGUCGAACCCCAGACCACUUGGUAACAAACCAAGGACCUGACCAUUAGACUAAACACUCUUAGGUAUUUAUCCAAUAUUUUUCAACCUGCAAAUAAUUACUCCAAUGCUGGCAAUGUAGCCUGGAGACCUGCUUCUGGCUUUCAACAACAGCAACUGAUGCCUGGUCCUGGUGCUCGGCACAUGGCACCCCCAGCUGGAGGGAGGCCACCGAAGACAGUUGCUCCUUCUCAUGCUGAGGAAAAGCAGCAGGCCAAUUAGUGGAAACCCAGAGUACCAGAAUUGGAGAAACAUCUUUUAAAGCAACUGAGUACAGAGGAGGUUAACUCACUGAACUUAAAGUUCAAAGAAGCAACCGAAGCUGAUAAAAAAGACUCAUCACUUGAUCCACCACCUUUGGAAUCAUCAUCUUGUCUUGUUUCUUCGGCAAACAAUUUGAAUUUCUCAGCAUCUUCGGCAUACAAUGGGCAUAUACCACAGCUUUCCACCUUCAUAUCGUAAUGCGGGAGAGGAGGUCGUCCUUCAACAUCCACCAGGCAGAAGACAACAGAGGCCUCUUUGGCAAGUUUGUAAACAUCAGGGGAGCAGUUUUUUCCUACCUCUUCACUUCUAAAGGCCUCAUUCCACACACGCACGUGAUGUAGGCGGCCAUAGGAGCGUAGGAUAAUGUACUUAGAACUGAACAGUUCAUGGCUUUCACCCAUGAAUUUGACAAUGAAAUUAGCACUUACACUGCAGUCUUCACAGUCCCACUCGUUGUUAAUAACAACAGAGAGAGCGAAACCAAAUAAACCUGUUCGAAACCAAUCUGGACAAAGCACGAUGUCUACUGAAGAUCCCUCAUUUUGAUAGCUGAACCAAUUUGGAAUUUCUUUUCCUGGACAUACAAUCUUAAUCUGAGGCCACGGAUCCUUCCUUGCCAUUCGCAUAAUUGUAAUCUGUGCAUCAUCCAUUAUGUUGCUCCUUGAAUUAUUAUCCAAUUUUGGGCAA